GUUAUUCGUUAUGGCCUGUCAAAAUUGAUGUUUAUCUUCUAAGCAUUGCUCCUGUCAAAGUAAUGCUAUUGUAUUUAAUAUUCAUGCCUAAUUUUCAAUCUACUCGAAGUCUGAACAAAAAGAUUUAGAGUCCGGAGAUAGGAAAGAAGAACAAUAUGAAUACUUCGAAAAACCAAGUGAAUAUGGGAGUUCAUACAAAACUUCAGGAAUCGCAUGUUUUUUGACCCAUUCAAAUUGGUUGAUCCGAGCGCCCGAAAACAUGG